rnacentral:rRNA from 1 species
AUUGACCUUCCCGUGAAGAGGCGGGAAUAUAACAAUAAGACGAGAAGACCCUAUGGAGCUUUAAUUAACCGACCCAAAGAGACCCCAUUUAUCCAACCGACAGGAACAACAAACCUCUACUAUGGGUCGACAAUUUAGGUUGGGGUGACCUCGGAGAAUAAAAUAACCUCCGAGUGAUUUAAAUCAAGACUAACCAGUCAAAAGUAUUACAUCACUUAUUGAUCCAAAAACUUGAUCAACGGAACAAGUUACCCUAGGGAUAACAGCGCAAUCCUAUUUCAGAGUCCAUA